UCAUUUGUUUCUAAUAAAGAUGUUGAAGGGCUUACCAAGCCAGGAAUUGCGAUGUGCUGCCUUUGUAUUGAUGUCUCCCAUGUCUGUUUUAAAAAAGAGAGUGCGGUCUUCACGAGUCUUAACGAGCAUACUCGGAAAAGAAGGACAGAAACGACAGCGAUUAAGUGCUAUAGCAGUGUUGAGUAUGAACGGCACUACAGUAUAUGAAAGAGAGAAAGAAACGACAGACAUUAGGCGCUAUAUAAUAGUGUCCAGUAUGAACAGCAUAUGAGAGAGAAAAAGAAAUUACAGUCAUUUAGUUCUCUAUAAUAGUGUCCAAUAUAAAAGAAUUUACAAUCAUUAAGUGCUAUAUAACAGUGUUUAGUUUGAAAGUAUGAAAAAAAGAGAAAUUAAAGGCAUUGAGUGUUCUGUAAGUGCCUAAUACGAAAAGCGCUUUAUAAAAGAAAUAAAUGUUAGUAGCUGAAAGAAAAUUAGUCAUUGAGUGUUCUAUAGUAUAGUGUCCAAUUCAAAAAUAUUUGUAAGAAGUCAUUAAGUGCUAUAUGAUAGUGUCCAAUAUGAAAGGCGCUAUAUAAAAGUAAAAAAAAAUGAGUCAUUAAGUGUCAUACGUUUGUACUCAAUAUGAAAAUCCAUUGUAUGAAUUUAAAAACUGCCAGUCAUUAAGUCUAUAUAAUAGUGUCCAGUAUAAAGGGCACUAUAUGCAAAAAAAGAAAUAAAUAAGUCAUUAAGUGCUCUGUAAUAGUAUCCAGUAUGAAAGGCAUUUUUUAAAAAUGAGAGUCAAUAAGUGCUAUACUGUAUAAUUGAGUUCACUGUCAUUGAAUUCUGUAUAGUGGUGUAAACACGAAAGGCGCUACAAGAAAGAAAGACAGCCAUUGAAUGCUUCCACAAUGUUGUUCAAUAGAAACAGCGCUAUAUGAAACCAAAUAAAAAAGAAAGAAAUGAAUCAAUCAUUGGGUGCUAUAUAAUAGUGUCAAAAUAUAAACGGCCCUAUAAGAAAGAAAGAAAGAAAGAAAGAAAGAAAGAAUGAAAAAGAAUCUCCAGUGGUCUGUGGUUGCGCAUAUUUAAGGUGACAAGUCAGUUACGAGUCGCCGUAUCUGCGAGUGCGUUUGUGGUGUUCUAAGAUGGACCGGCUCCCAGUCCUCUCCACGGCUGGUCCUUGCUUUGCUCCAGAUGCAUUUACGAGGCCAUGACCCCGACUUGGGCGAAGGCAGGCUUGUUAAUGUGAAGUUAUGCCCAGUUUAUAACGAGUGACUUGCCUCGCCCUGCGCGUAUUUCUCGCGAGGAGAUGGAUUGUACUCCGCCUGGACGUUUCGCUUUAGCUUUAUUAAGCUAAAUUCACUUUAAAAA